GGGCUCAACUCGGGUGUUGCAUUUGAAACUGGGUUACUAGAGUGCAGGAGAGGGAAGCGGAAUUCCUAGUGUAGCGGUGAAAUGCGUAGAUAUUAGGAGGAACACCAGUGGCGAAGGCGGCUUUCUGGACUGUAACUGACGCUGAGGCACGAAAGCGUGGGGAGCAAACAGGAUUAGAUACCCUGGUAGUCCACGCUGUAAACGAUGGAUACUAGGUGUAGGGGGCGUAGAGCCUUCUGUGCCGCAGCAAACGCAAUAAGUAUCCCGCCUGGGGAGUACGGCCGCAAGGUUGAAACUCAAAGAAAUUGACGGGGGCCCGCACAAGCAGAGGAGCAUGUGGCUUAAUUCGAUGCAACGCGAAGAACCUUACCCGGGUUUGACAUGCAGCUGCACGUCCCGUGAAAGCGGGAUUCCUUCGAGGGUGCUGCACAGGUGCUGCAUGGCUGUCGUCAGUUCGUGCCGUGAGGUGUUUGGUUAAGUCCAGCAACGAACGCAACCCCUGUGUCCAGUUGCCAGCGCGUAAUGGCGGGAACUCUGGACAGACCGCCCGUUCACACGGGAGGAAGGUGGGGACGACGUCAAGUCAGUAUGGCCCUUACAUCCGGGGCUGCACACGUGCUACAAUGGCCGGUACAAAGGGAAGCUAAGCCGCGAGGCCGUGCCAAUCCCCAAAACCGGCCCCAGUUCGGAUUGGAGUCUGCAACUCGA
rnacentral:rRNA from 1 species